UACGUAGGGGGCAAGCGUUGUCCGGAUUUAUUGGGCGUAAAGAGCGUGUAGGCGGCCAUACAGGUCCGUUGUGAAAACUGGAGGCUUAACCUCCAGACGUCGAUGGAAACCGUAUGGCUAGAGUCCGGAAGAGGAGAGUGGAAUUCCUGGUGUAGCGGUGGAAUGCGCAGAUAUCAGGAGGAACACCAACGGCGAAGGCAGCUCGCUGGGACGGUACUGACGCUAAGGCGCGAAAGCGUGGGGAGCGAACAGG
rnacentral:rRNA from 1 species